rnacentral:rRNA from 1 species
GACAGAGGGUGCAAGCGUUGUUCGGAAUUAUUGGGCGUAAAGCGCGCGUAGGCGGCCCACUAAGUCGAAUGUGAAAGCCCCGGGCUCAACCUGGGAAGUGCAUUCGAAACUGGUGGGCUAGAGUCCUGGAGAGGGUGGUGGAAUUCCCAGUGUAGAGGUGAAAUUCGUAGAUAUUGGGAGGAACAUCAGUGGCGAAGGCGACCACCUGGACGGAGACUGACGCUGAGGUGCGAAAGCGUGGGGAGCAAACAGG